rnacentral:rRNA from 1 species
ACUCAAAUGAAUUGACGGGGGUCCGCACAAGCGGUGGAACAUGUGGUUUAAUUCGACGCUACGCGAGAAACCUUACCUGGGCUUGACAUAUUUUUGACAGUCGUAGAAACACGAUCUUCUAAGUUUACUUAGACAAUUAUACAGGUGCUGCAUGGCUGUCGUCAGCUCGUGUCGUGAGAUGUUAGGUUAAGUCCUCUAACGAGCGCAACCCUUGCCGUCAGUUGCUACGUGCUUAUGCACGGCACUCUGGCGGGACUGCCUGGGAAACCAGGAGGAAGGUGGGGACGACGUCAAGUCAUCAUGGUCCUUAUGCCCAGGGCUACACACGUGUUACAAUGGCCAAUACAAAGGGCAGCAAACUCGCAAGGGGGAGCAAAUCCCAGAAAGUUGGUCUAAGUUCGGAUUGGGGUCUGCAACUCGACCCCAUGAAGUUGAAAUCGCUAGUAAUCGUGUAUCAGCAACGGCACGGUGAAUACGUUCUCGGACCUUGUACACACCGCCCGU